UAAGGGCUGACUGCCACUGAGGAGGGAUCUCUUUCUGGAGACUGAUCCUCUUGGAGUUUUUCCUGUGAGCCUACAACACAGGCUUGUAGCAUGACUCUGCUGUUAGUGCAUGCCCCUGAGUGUUGAAGAUUUUGCACAGAAGAAAUGAGAAGGCAAAGAAAUCAUCUCCUUUGGGAGGACAUUUUCAGGGCAACAGAAGGAAGACACUGCAUAUAUUUAAAUUGGGAAGGGAACUGGGAGGAAGGAUCAUUAUUUUCACUCUAAAAAAAACUUCCAAAUCUUUGGUAGGAGAGAUGUAUGAUGUGGCUAAACUGAGACUAGAAAUCAUCUGAUAUUUACACAGGGAGUUUUGUAUUGUUCAUUAUUUCUACUAAAAUGCCUCCAAAAGUGGUUAGAAUCAAACUGCUGUUUGGGAAAGUUCUGCAAACAAUAGAUAUAUGCUCUUUGAGAUCAAGCCCAUUAUAUGCUUUUCUCUUUCAAUUUGUUUCCUUUUUGCUUUGUAUUUCUGUUUACUUCUUUGUUUCUGCAUUUUGAUUUCUCAUAUUGCAACUUGUAUCUGAGCCUUCCAAACAUCUUCCAUAAGAUUUCAAGAGAGUGACUCUUAAAUUUUCUUUCUCUAAAUGACAAAAACUCUCAAAUUUCAUUUUCAAAUCAUAAACAUUUGAGAACCUUUUUAUUUUCAAAAUAUAGAACCUAUUCUUCCUAAUGAUGUGUGAUAAUAGCGAAAAUCAACCAAAAUUGUGCAUUUACUUAUAACCAUCAUGACUCUAAAUAGGCACAUUUUGUGUUCAUUGCUUGCUACUAGUUGAGGAAAACUAUUUUGGAUUCUCCUAAAUCGCGUAAUUACAGAAUUUGCUACAUCUGCAUUGUUAAACUUUAAAGAAGUAUAUUGUCUCAUGUUUCAAAUGUUUUUCUUUCUUCCAUGAGCCUCUGCAUGGAAAGUAUAGAAGUAUGAACUCCAGGAAUUUUUACAAUGAGAAAGGAAGGAUGGGUUUCCAAUAAAGGAAUACAAGAGACUUAUUGCCUGCCUCAGCAAGGCACACUUAUUUGUGUGGGACUUAUUUUUGGUUUUCCUUCAGAGGCAUUCCUAUGAUUUAGCACCCUACAUAUUUCAUUUUCCAGGUUUGCUCUCUGUAGACUGCUUCAUAGAUAUGCACAGCAUCUGAUAUGCAUCAGCCAAUGACGCAAAAUAUUGCAAGCAACUCAUGCACUCUAUGUUCUCAUACAUUUGAAGAAUACAAAAUGAUAACAUUUUUGGAAAUAUACUUCUGCACCUCGCUGCGUACACAUGAAAUCUCAGAUGGCUGCAGCAUUUGUUGAGCAGAGAGGAAUAGCCCUGUCUCUGUGAGAAACUUGUUCCACAAUUUCUCAGUAAUUUUAAGCAUGUCUCCUUCAUGUGCACAUUCCAAGUGGAAAGGAGAUUUUUAGAAGCUCAUUACAGUUUGAGGCUGUUUCUGCUGAAAACAAGUAAGAUUUAAGAUCUGGAGUAUUCUGUAGUUAGAAGGUUAUUUCUCACACUUAUCCUGGAAUCCGUAAAACAGGAGCUUUUCUAGAUGUUUUCUGAGAAGAAUACAAUAAUGUGAUACUGGGUAGAAGUCAGCAGUUUGCCAAAUAGAUUAUCAGAAUAUUUAAAAUAAUGCAUGAAGUGGUUUUUUGUUGU
ensembl:lncRNA